UACGAAGGGGGCGAGCGUUGUUCGGAUUUACUGGGCGUAAAGGGCGCGCAGGCGGCCGCAUUUGUCAGGCGUGAAAGCCCCGGGCUUAACCUGGGAACUGCGUUUGAUACGGUGUGGCUAGAGUUCGGGAGAGGAGAGUGGAAUUCCCAGUGUAGAGGUGAAAUUCGUAGAUAUUGGGAAGAACACCGGUGGCGAAGGCGGGUCUCUGGGCCGAUACUGACGCUGAGGAGCGAAAGCGUGGGGAGCGAACAGG
rnacentral:rRNA from 1 species